AAAGACUCAAUUCUUGAGUUUCCGUGUCUAACGUUUGACCGUCCGUCUUAUAUGAAAUUUUUUUAUGAUUAGUAUUUUCAUUAUUGAUAGAUGAUAAAACAUGAAUAAUACUUUAUGCAUGGCUUAUCUUUUUAAAUUUUUUUCUUAUUUUUUCAAAGAAGACGGACGGUCAAACGUUAGACAUUGAAACUUAGGAAUUGAGUUUUU
rfam:Oryza sativa Japonica Group DNA, chromosome 6, cultivar: Nipponbare, complete sequence.